rnacentral:rRNA from 1 species
CCUACGGGAGGCAGCAGUGAGGAAUAUUGGUCAAUGGACGAGAGUCUGAACCAGCCAAGUAGCGUGAAGGAUGACUGCCCUAUGGGUUGUAAACAUCUUUUAUAAAGGAAUAAAACGAGGCACGUGUGCCUUUUUGCAUGUACUUUAUGAAUAAGGAUCGGCUAACUCCGUGCCAGCCGCCGCGGUAAUACGGUGGAUCCGAGCGUUAUCCGGAUUUAUUGGGCUUAAAGGGAGCGUAGAUGGGUUGUUAAGUCAGUUGUGAAAGUUUGCGGCUCAACCGUAAAAUUGCAAUUGAUACUGGCAGUCUUGAGUACAGUUGAGGGAGGCAGAAUUCGUGGUGUAGCGGUGAAAUGCUUAGAUAUCACGAAGAACCCCGAUUGCGAAGGCAGCUUACUAAACUGUGACUGACAUUGAUGCUCGAAAGUGUGGGGAUCAAACAGGAUUAGAUACCCCUGUAGUC